AUUGAACGCUGGCGGCAGGCCUAACACAUGCAAGUCGAGCGGAUGAAGGGAGCUUGCUCCUGGAUUCAGCGGCGGACGGGUGAGUAAUGCCUAGGAAUCUGCCUGGUAGUGGGGGAUAACGUCCGGAAACGGGCGCUAAUACCACAUACGUCCUGAGGGAGAAAGUGGGGGAUCUUCGGACCUCACGCUAUCAGAUGAGCCUAGGUCGGAUUAGCUAGUUGGUGGGGUAAAGGCCUACCAAGGCGACGAUCCGUAACUGGUCUGAGAGGAUGAUCAGUCACACUGGAACUGAGACACGGUCCAGACUCCUACGGGAGGCAGCAGUAGGGAAUAUUGGACAAUGGGCGAAAGCCUGAUCCAGCCAUGCCGCGUGUGUGAAGAAGGUCUUCGGAUUGUAAAGCACUUUAAGUUGGGAGGAAGGGCAGUAAGUUAAUACCUUGCUGUUUUGACGUUACCAACAGAAUAAGCACCGGCUAACUUCGUG
rnacentral:rRNA from 1 species